UUUAAGUGCACGUAGUGUAAAAAGUGCUGUCGGAAGACUGAUAUCUCGUGUGUGUAUACAAUAACGAAAUUUUGCAAAUUCUACUCAACGAAUUGAACAAAGAUUUAUAUUCUAAUGGUGAUAUAAUGAUAAAAAGAGAAUUUGUAAAUUUGGUGACUUUUCAGUACUUGAAAUUUUAGAACAAGCAGCCCCGCGUGCGUUAUACCGCACGAAAUAUAACCUAAAAAUCAACUAACCUUUAUGUUACAUUUGUUUAUACUGUACGACGAAGUUUAUACGUAAAACAACUUCUCAUAAUAAUUAUAUAAGCAGUAAGAAAAAGAAUGUCAUUUCGUUGCUUUUAAAAAACGUAAUUUUACAGAUAUCUUAUUUGUUUAAUAUUAGCUGAGUUAUAUCCAAAAAUCAUGUCAAAACGUAAAUUGAGUGAUAUGGCAGAAGAUGACCUUGAUGAACAGCCUGAUAAACAGCCACUUAAGAAUUCAUUGGAUUCCGAUGAAGAUGAUGAUGAGACAAAUGAGGAUGCUUAUAAUGUCAUGAAUGAAGAUGAAUUUGAAGGUACUGAAGAUGGACCUUCAGCCCCAGAAGCUAAUGUAGGAUUUACAGCAUUUAAUAUGAAAGAAGAAUUGGAAGAGGGUCAUUUUGAUAAAGAAGGUCAUUAUCUUUGGAAGAAAGAGAAGCAAAUAAGAGAUAACUGGUUAGAUAAUAUUGAUUGGAUCCAGGUUAAACCAUGUUCUACAACUAAACAAAAAGAUACUAAAUCAAAUGAAGCUCAUGGAUUAGGAGAUAGUGAUAGUGAUGAAGGAGAUGUCAUGUUUGAUUCUACUCCAUUAUAUAAACAGAUGUUAGAGUAUCUCAAACCUGGUGAAACAGUUUCUAAGGCAUUAUGCAGACUUGGUAAAGGCAAAAAGAAAUUAACUACAGCUGAAAGAUGGAAAAGGAAAAAAGAAUCUAAAACACCUAUGGAAGAAGACCCAAAUUCUGUUAGUAUAACAAAAUUGACAGAAUUAGCGAAUGAGGUAUUAACACGUACUGGUAACAUGGAUAUAUAUCAAGAAACUUAUGAACAAAUAAAAAAAAAGGUUGAACAAUCCAACAAGCAUGGACCUCCUUCAAAACAAGAAGCAGAGUUAGAUAUGUACGCUGAUGAUUUUGAUGUAAAAGAAAAGGCGAAAUUGAUUGACACUGAUAGCAGACCUGAUAAGGCAGUAGAAACAACUAGUGAAGAAAAAUCUUCAUCUUUGGAAGAAAAUGUUAUGUGGGAGCUGAAAUGGUCACAAGAUGAAGAUGCAGAGAUACACGGACCUCAUACUAGUCAACAAAUGCAUGCCUGGGCAAACGAGGGAUAUUUCAAAAAGGGUGCUUGGGUCAGAAGAAGUGGGCAACAGAAUCAAUUUUAUAAUGCUGCUAGAGUAGACUUUGAGCUUUAUCUGUGACACUUCUACCUGAUAUAAAAAGAUAGAUCCAUUGAAAGGAGCAGACAUAUUCCAGAUACAGAAGAAAAAAGAAAUUUUGAAUAAAUCAAAUUCAUAUUAUAUAAUUUUGGUUGGAAUUCGGAAUUUAAUUCGAAAUAUAUCACGCAAUAAGAUAAACGAAGAAGGGAUUUACAUAUACUUUGGUCAACACACAUCACAAGGAUUGCGUAAGAGAACCAUGGAAUGGGAAAGGACGAUUGGAUACGUCUAAACGGAAGAUACGCGAUGUCGCAUCGAUAUAAUCGAACAAAAAGCGCGUCGAUAAAUUUUUGCGGUGUGUGUAUGUGUAUGUCAGUAUAGACAAUUGGUACAUUGUUUUUUUUACUGAAUAUAAUUUUAUUAAACGUCUUAAACAUUUUUAUUAGCAAUGUAUGAAAGUCUUAUACGAGAUUGCUUAAAAUAUUAUUUUAAGUAUUUCGUGUACACGCAAAAAAUUGUUCAGACAUGAACAUUUGGGAGAUACGUGUGCAUGCAUAUAUGUAAAUAUAUAUAUGUAUAUAUAUGUAUCUUUAUAUAUACGUGUGUAUAUACAGAAUGUUUUCAAAUUUGCGUCCACGUAAUGCGUGAUGAGAUUCUUUGAUUAGUUACAAUCUUCUCGCAAUCCUUUCUCAACUAAAAUUCCAUUAAACAUCAUUUUUCGAUAUUCGAUAUUGAACGCCUCGAUAACUUAGUUCUUAAUUAAACUUCUGUUUAAGUAAAGACAACUUGAAAUUUAUUGGAGCAUAAGCGUUGAACAUACACACAUACACACACAUACUAGUGACUCUGAAGUUUAAUUUAUGAAAACCCGUUAAUUUUUAAUCGCUCGCACAACACAACAGUGAUUAAUAUUUCAGACAUUUUUAUUCGUGUAAAAUCGAUUUCACGCUAGUCAAAGAAUCUCAUUACGUGACGCACGAGCGCAGGUGGGUGAGAACACUCCGUAUAUGCAUGUACAUUUCGUAGGUAUAUAAAUUCGUAGCUUGUCUCGAAAGAUUAGAAAAAUCCUAAGCGAAGUGUUUAAACGUAGAAGCCCGAGGUGACUAUGCUAGAUUAUAUAGUAAGAAGUAUGAAUCGACACUUUGGUCACUACACGAGUCGAUCAUAAUUGAAAGAGUCUAAAUAUGACUACGUUACUAAAAGUGCUGUGAAAUACAUGCAAUGUACACCCGUUGCUUAUUAAACCCAACACAUGCGCGUACGUUUAAUAAGUUCACUAACAAUUGUGUAUGUUUUUUCCUUCAAAAUCAAGAUCGCGAAAAUGGCUCUUUUGAACGAGGUAUUUCUCGUGUGAGAUGAACUUUACAGAAUCUAUAAAUUUCGACAAAAUUUGUUGCCGUAUGGAAAAAAUUAAUUUGCAUAAUGCAUCAACGCGCACGUAUGUGAUGAAAAAUCUGUGAAAGCGCGACAGAAUAGGGCCGUUCCAAAAGAGUUUUUUUGUAUUUAUUAUAUUCUAUCUUUAUCAAUUAUGUGAAUCUCAAGCUUUGAUGAGACCGAUCUCGUGUCAAAUAAAAGAAAUGACUGUAACUUUCUAUACUUAUAAAAAAUUAUUGUGCCCACUUGUACAAACAUUACUUAGACAUAGUAUUGAAUUGUUGUUGGUAGCUACGUUUCCACGUGUUCGUACGAGAGGAUGAUCGCUAAAAUGUUGUCUACUUGUAAGGGAAUUAACACGUGGAAAUCAUCAGCGAGUUGAUCCCGAGUCGUUUCGCCUGUCCGAAAGCGCGAACCGUUAAAUCGUGAAAAUCCGCCAACGGAGACACGGAGGUAGACGAAGCAAAGUGUGGUGAAGGUACAUUGCAUCACAUUCACGCGUGUCGACGGAACAAGUACUUUGGUCUUUUCCAAGCUGAAAGGACGCAACAGCCGGAGAACACAGGGGACGUUCAGACGAGGGCGAAAAUAGGAAAUAGCCGCCGAGAGAGCAGCAGCGGCACGCCUCAAACGCAUCGAAGUCCCCGGAUGAGGAGGAUGCUUCAGGAAAGGGACACACACGCACACACGAGCGCAUGUUGCGAGAAAAGGAUGAGGAACGAGGAGGAAGCGAAGAAGAACAUUCGACGAGGGGCUUCUGUCCUCUUCUUAGAGGGAUACGUCUAAAGUCUCGCUACAACCCCUCUACAAUGAAGCCUCUCUCUCUUUCUCUCCGCCUCUCUCGUCUUUCUCUUGGUCGUUCUCCAGACAAGAUGCACAUAGCAUGACUAACUACCAUGACUAACGAGUCGGGCGAAGUGCCACCGAGGAAUCUUGGCUAACCGAGUGAGAGAGGGUAGGCACGAUGAAAUAUUUUCAGAUCUGAUAUUCCCGACACCCGCGCCACGGGGGUGGUCUUUUCCCAUUCGAGUCCGCGGAUUGUCGGGUGCGACUGUUUGCGCGCCGCUGUCUCGCGAUGGACUCUCACGCGAGACAAAUCGUUAAAAAACAUCAAAAGUAGUCGAGAAGAGGAAGAGGGAGAGAGUAAGAGAAUGCGAGAAAGAGAGAGAAAGAGGGAAAGAGAGAGAGAGAGAGAGAGAAAACAGUGGCUCGAGCCAUAUUUUAGACUAAAGUCAACGUUUACGUAAUUACACUCGCCCCUUAGUGCCCUCGAAUCUCAUAUUUUCGACCGUAUCUUCGCUACUGCACGGCCGGCGGAGUUCAGGCAGGCUUUCCGUUUGAGAUUUUAUCCGGCGACGAUCAUCACUUAGGAGGCCGUGGUUUAUAUCGCGAUGGAUACAUAAAGUCCCGGGGAUUCCCGAACGAGGCAGAUGCAAAUGGACGUCGGCGGAAAAGGUUGCACGGUACUGUGAGCUGCGACAUAGACGUAUCUCGGAUAUUUGCUUACGAUUUAAGUUUAAUCGCGCGAUCUGAAUGACGGGGAGAGAAACGGAGAGAUACGGAACCGGAGAGAGAAACGGAGCGGGAGAAAUGGCUGGAGAUGAAUGCUUAAUGUCGGUAAUCAAAGUUGUAAAUUGGAUCGGAUUUAAUCCCUCCGUUACAUUGCGCUCGAGCGACAAAUAAACAAAGAGGCGCAACGCGCUGCCCGUUUACAUCGCCGGGAGAAAAUCGCGGGAAGAAAUAUUGAGGACCAUCGGUUAUAUCUCACCGCGAAUAUCCCAGGUCGAUCGCGCGUCUCGAAAUUGCAAUAAAUCAGGCGGGCCGACAGUUCGAACACACCGACUUCCUCUCUCUCUCUCUCUCACCCUUUUUCACCCUCCGUCUCUUCCGAGCUUUCUCUUUUCAGCGGGACCGUCGUAAAACUCCUCGCAUAAUCAACGGGGAAACGAUCGGCUGCCGACUUUCGAGUUGAACCGUGACGAUCGAUCGGGACGCAUUCCGCGUCCCGGAACUUGCGAAACUUAGCGAGCCGAGAUGGACGAGCCGUUUCUCGACGAAAAGCCGCUGUCCGACGAAAGCAAGAGAAGACUCGUGAUGCAGCCGUGCUUAUAGGUCAGUGGACCGCGCAUGGGAAGCACGUUAAUAGGGGAUUUUCAUUCAGCGUUCCCGCCGGGCUUCUCUCGCUUUGGGGAAAAUUAAUUUUUCAGGGCGGGAGCAGGCGAAGACGUAUCACUUAUGGGGUCACGAGGAGGAAGCCAGGUCCGGAACGUUUCGCCUAAUCACGUUAAAGCUAAACGCCCUCGUGAAUGUACUCUUUGUCGAUUUUCCUUCUUCCCUUUUUUUUCACCGACUCACUCUUUUUCUCUCCCCCUCUUGCUUUUUGUCUCUUAUUUCUCUUGUUUCUCUUCAUUUUAUUUUCUUUUUUCCUUUCGCAUAGCGGAGCACUAUCAUUUUUUAAACGGCCGACCGGGCCGUUCGCGGCGAAUGAACGUUGAUGCGAAUUGAUGGGGAUUGCCGACUAUCUGGGGAACUGUGAACGUUUCGCUGGAACGGCGGUUUCCAUACAUUUUUUAUGAAACCAUCCGCAUAUCGAGCGCGACGGCAGGGAGAACGGGGAUUCUACGUCUCGUUAGAGCAGCGUAGUCACGAUCCUCAAGGAAAUAAGCUUUUUUUCCGCCCGGCCUCACGCACAUACGAAAAAAUGGAGUAAGUAAUUUUCACUGAAAACAAACUCGUUCUUUAAUAUCGUGAUUGCCAAUAAUUUUUCUCUUUUUCUCUCUCUCUAUAUGUAUCUCUAUCUCUCUUUCUCCCUUGCAGGAUUUAUACACCGUGUGUCUCGAUGUUAUCCCGACAGGAUCAAAGUCAAUUCCAAUCUCUCGUUAAUGUCCCAUUACCAUAUUGAUACGAGUUUAACGAACUUCUUUCGUUGGGACAGCGAUCUCCCGAUAACGACUGUUCAUUUAUUAUGGAAAGAGAGAGAAUUCAGCUAUCGAGAGAACACGUCGCGACAAUGCCGGAGGGAUAUGCGCAAGCAAGUAUUGUCUCGAAAGGUUUUUCGGCUCCGCGGCGUAAAGUUCGCUUGCUCUUCGCUUCAAGAUCCCUGCUUCGCUUCUCGCGAGCCAACGGGCGAAAGCGCGAGGGGACAAAAUUCGAAAAAAAAGCAUCUUUAAUCUCUCCCUUUAAAUUCCGCCGUUGUGGAAGUUCGAGCUGCGCGACCUGUAGUAGGAAAAUGCGAUUCAGUAACGAGACUUAAUCUCCGGGCGUUGCAAACUACGACUCACGAAGUUGCCUUACAAGCGGAUCCAAUUAGGAAGUUUUGCAUAUUCUGUUAGGUUUCGCGGACGCGGUGCGUUUGGAGGCGUGCGCAAAAACAUACAAAUAGGUUCUUAGGAUCGUAAUCGCGUAUUCGCGUAACGACUUCCGUCGUCGUGCGUAACAUUGAGGGAUAACGCUGCCGGCGAAUUUUUCUCCCCCUUUUUUUUCUUGUCUUCCCUUUUCUUUUCUUUUCUCUUCCCUUACGCGCUGGGACGAGAUCAUUACGUCGAAUCGCGCAAGUACGAGUCUCUGCGACGGUGUGUGUCUUCCCGCAACGGAAAUGUACGCACUUGGUUCGUACUGCAUUAAGUAUAUUUUCGUAUUCAAAAACGUAACAUCUCUUUUUCCACAAACUUAACACAUCAUAAAUUAAUAAAUAAAUAUAUAUUUAUAUCUCGUA